UAAAUCGAAUGCAGUUAUUGAGAAGCCG
rnacentral:piRNA from 1 species